CAACGGCUGAAAAAGCCUGUGAUUGGCUGCUCUGGCUGGGAGCACAGCGCCAGAGUGUGGUCCCAGUUGGAGUGUUCGAGCCAGGCUCUUUGCAGACGUGUUCGAUUGCUAACGCUGGAGUUUUAAUUUUCAAAUGUCACUGUCUUUUGAGUUCACAGCCCCCCCCCUUUUGCAGUGUGAAUCAUGGAAGUGUAAAAAAUACGGGUAGAAGUUGUCAGCGGAAUUCGGGAAAAGUCGCCGGCAAUUUUUGAAACAAGCGAACUUCCACUUAGGUAUUCAUGGAAGCUUGUUGCUGUGAUAAUUCCCCAACUGUCCCCUGAGGGUAGAGAAGGGCUGCCCACACUGAGGCAGGAGCACCGAGGCCUCGGCAGUGGAGAUACCAUGAUCCCCUGCAGUCUCCAUU
rnacentral:lncRNA from 1 species